GACGAACGCUGGCGGCGUGCUUAACACAUGCAAGUCGAACGGUACGGCCCUGCUUUUGUGGUGUGCUCGAGUGGCGAACGGGUGAGUAACCCGUGAGUUACCUGGCCUUUACUUUGGGAUAACUUCAGGAAACUGGGGCUAAUACCGGAUCUGAGCUCCUGCUGCAUGUUGUGGGUUGGAAAGUUUCGGCGGUUGGGGAUGGACUCGCGGCUUAUCAGCUUGUUGGUGGGGUAGUGGCUUACCAAGGCUUUGACGGGUAGCCGGCCUGAGCGGGUCACCGGCCACAUUGGGACUGAGAUACGGCCCAGACGCCUACGGGAGGCAGCAGUGGGGAAUAUGGCAGAAUGGGCGGAAGCCUGAUGCAGCAACGCCGCGUGCGUGAUGACGGCCUGCGGGUUGUAAACCGCUUUCGCCUGUGACGAAGCGUGAGUGACGGUAAUGGGUAAAGAAGCACCGGCUAACUACGUG
rnacentral:rRNA from 1 species